CGCAAGGCUAAGGCUGAGCGAGAGAGAGAGAGAAUGAGAGAGAGAGAGGCGGGCAGAUUGAUAGACGCCCCCUCCCUCCGCUAGAGGCAAAAGAGAUGCUGCAAGCCUAUCCCUCCCCCUCCCCACACCAGGUUUGUAGGAGGGGGGCGAAGGGGAGGGCUCCCCCCAAUCAACCGUCCGCAGACCGAGAGGGAGACUGGAAAGGUAAGAUUCGGAACGAAGAAAGGAAACCAAGGGAAAGGAAUCCAUCCCCCCCAAAAAAGGGGGGGCACCAGUAAGGGGGAGAUGGGGGUGGAAGACGGCAGUGUAUGGAGGGGAGCCCGAUCCUGCGCUUGUUUACUGGGAAGUAAGCCUCGUUGGCUGACUGGGCUGGACUGGUAGGAUGGGGGCGGGCUUCCAGAGGUUUGGGCCUCCAACUGCCCUCAGCCCAGCCGAUGACAGGGCCGAUAGGGGGUUGCAGUGCACAACCUCUAGGGGGCGCCAGGCUCCCCAGGCAGAUUCUUGGUCGAUAUGCCCAGGAAGUCCUGGUUAUAUGGGGUGGCAGUCGUGGCUCUGCUCAGCCAUCGCGGAAGGGGGUUGGGGGAGGGGGAGGAGAGGACUGGCAAAGUCCAGGGCCCCCUCCCUUCUCCAGGGAGGCUUCGCAGGCCUCGUUGACCUCUGAGGAAUCGGGGAGGCCCCGUCGUGUGAGUGACCCUGGCUGGGGAUACAAGCUUUAAAGGCGAGGGGAGAGGAGGAGGUGGCGGUGGGGUGGAGCGAUUACCUCCUUCCUCACCGCCCCCCCCCCCCCCACAACGACAUCCACCCUUCCCCCGCAGCUGCUCGUUUAUUCUCCACACCCACCCCCCGUAAAGUUAGCCACGACCUCGGUCACUGUCCUUCUGCUUGCAGGUAGGAAACAGAAACCGACCCGAGGAGGGCAUUGAGACCAGACAAAGCAGAGCACCAACGUACCCAGCUGUUGCUGCUGUUUUUGUUGUUGUGGUCGUGUGUUUUGCUUCCACUUUGGGUGUAGGGUGAGAGGGGAGGUCAGUGGCCGAAGGUGUCCUCCGCGGAGCUUGUUUUGACAUAUUUCGUGCCAGUCCCCUGAGCCUCGUGCGUCAACGAGGAGAGAUCCUGCCGUACUCUGGGGGGGCCAAGGUGUAAUUAUUAUCGAAUAAGCUUAUCUGCGAACAGCCCCACAAGCAAAUGAAAGGGCGCGUUGGAGAGGGGUGGAGAGGGGGGAAUAGCAAGCCUCGAUCUUGCUCUGCCAGCCAGCAGCUGGCCCCUUCUCAAAAGUUGUCGUCAUUAUUAUCAAUAUUAUUACUUCCCUGCAAUGGCGCUUUCCAAAGUUACAUAAGCGGAAGGCAGAUGCCUGCCCCGGGGAGCUUACAGUCUCGAAUUUCGAGGAGGAGGAGGACAGCAGAGAUAAGGAAAGGGAUGCGAUGGGUGAACGCUGGUUUGCCGUGCUGAUUGAUUGAUUGAUUGAUUGAUAUUGUUUUUAAAUAUUCCUUGACGGGCUAGCUCCUUCAUCGUUUUGCAGACUGCCGCUUGUUUUCACCUUCCACCGAAAGAUCAUAGAAUCGUAGAGUUGGAAGGUACCCCGCGGUCAUCUAGUCCAACCCCCUGCAAUGCAGGAAUCUCAACGAAAGCAUCCAUGACAGAUGGCAAUCCAGCCUCUGCUUAAAAACCUCCAAGGAAGGAGAGUCCACCACCUCCCGAUGGAAUCUGCUGCACUGUUGGAACAACUCUUACCGUCAGAAAGAUUAAACACCCUAAAGUAUCAA